rnacentral:sRNA from 1 species
CGGCAGCGGGGUAGGAUGGCGCUAAAGCGGAUCCAGAAGGAAUUAACCGACUUGCAGAGGGAUCCUCCUGCCCAGUGUUCCGCGGGACCUGUGGGUGAUGACUAAUGACAGUCCUUACCAAGGAGGUGUUUUCUUCCUGACCAUCCACUUUCCUACGGAUUACCCGUUCAAGCCCCCAAAGGUUGCUUUCACAACCAAAAUUUAUCACCCUAAUAUCAACAGCAAUGGCAGCAUCUGCCUUGAUAUCCUGCGGUCUCAGUGGUCUCCAGCGUUGACUGUGUCAAAAGUUCUCUUGUCCAUCUGCUCGCUGCUCUGCGACCCCAACCCCGAUGACCCUCUGGUGCCAGAGAUAGCCCACACCUACAAGGCCGACAGAGAGAAGUACAACAGACUAGCAAGAGAGUGGACACAAAAAUAUGCUAUGUAAGUGCCUCGGAGGUUUUACAUGAGACAUUGUCCAAGAGAAGCUGGCAGAGAGGUCUUCCCUUAAAACUUUGGACUGUUGGCUGAGCCAUUCAAAGAGCAUCAUCUGUUCUUCAAACAAAUGUUGGUCACCCACUCUCUCCAGCUGCAGCAUGUUGGUGCCAUUUUCAGCAGUUAUGGCUUUGACAAUGCCACCUCUUUGAUGCCAAAUCAGCAGCCAUUGUUGUUAUGAUCUGCAGUCUUCCUGGUGACACUGGAAUCUCUCUCUGUGCCGCCUCAGUUUGUCUGCUGGUCUCUUGGGGGGCCAGGCCCUGCACGUCUCUCCUACCUGGCCUCAAAUGGUGCUGCUGCCCAUGAUGGUACCACACCAGGGCCUCAGCCUGGCUCCUCACCACAUACCCUUUGCCUUUUAGAACUCAGUGCCAUCCUGGGUGCCCACGGCAGAGCAGGCUUUCUUCGCACCUCAUCUGCUGCAGAACCACAUCCUGAGGAGUCUCAGCUUAUCCUGGAGGGAAUUGGGAACAGUGUCACUGGGAAGUGAAGGCCUAGCCCUGCGGCUUCCACCAGUCUCCUCCUGCAGUGCCACAUGCUGGCAUUUCUCGCCUCACACCAAGAAGCAGCAAGUGGAAAAUUUCAGGAUACAAAGCACAUAACACCCCAUAAGAGAUGAUUAUGUUUUUAGAAGCAAGAGCAAAAUUAUGAAACCUCUAGAGAUUUGGGUCAUGUUACUCCAUUUGAUGAGGAUUCUCACUACCGCCCGCUCCUCCCAUAGGAGCCUACGCUAAGUCCAAGUGUGAGCCAUUCAAAGACUAGAACACAAGGAGGGAGAGAGACUCUUAAAUGUAAAUAAAAAUGCAAUUCACUCACAACUCUAAA